UUCCACAGCUACUGGGCUACAGCUGUUCUCUAGGGAACAGUUGGAGCAUUCCACUGUGGAAAAGAAACUGCUAGCAAAAGUGAAAGUGGGCAUAUGUGCGACAGACAAGA